rnacentral:lncRNA from 1 species
AACCCCCAUCUAUACAGACAUUCCUAGCUAUUUAAACAAUGCUGUUACGUGAUUAUUACGUACUGCAUGCCUGUAUCAAAACAGCACAUGAGCUCCAUAAAUACAUACAUCUACUAUGUACCCAUAAACAGACUUUUAAAAUUAAAUAAAGGCUGUUACUUUGUAAGACAGAAUGACCCAAUUACAAUCACUCUGGAUUAUUCAAAGUUCAUUAGAGUGAACUCUUCAAAUGUUAGGUGCAACAACACUGUGAAUUACAGAGUCAAACACAGACUCAGCCUGCAUCAGGGCCUCUGCUGCCCGCCCUAUCCAUGCGGUUGGCUAACCUGGCGCAGA